rnacentral:tRNA from 2 species
GGUGUAGCGCAGUUGGUAGCGCGCCUGCUUUGGGAGCAGGAUGUCGGGGGUUCAAAUCCCUUCACU